rfam:Magnaporthe oryzae 70-15 chromosome 5, whole genome shotgun sequence.
GGGGAUGUGGUUUAGUGGUAUAAUGCUUCCUUAGCAACUCGAGCUUCACAAGCCUGAGUUCCGAGUCAUGGAAGAGGUCCCGAGUUCGAUUCUUGGCGUCUCCA